AAUUCUUAAUUUAUAAGUAACUUCUAAUUUUAAACUUCGUUUCAAAGUAAAUGGAAGAGAGCACAAUUACAUUUCCUCAAUUUUAAAAAUGGAAUCACAUAAAUAGGUUCAGCCGUCCCCUCCUCUUAACUUUCAGGGUGGUAUUCAGAAGAAAAUAGUGAAAAUCAUGGAGGGAUGGCGAGCUAAAGCAUAAAAAAAAACAACAUGGGAAAAGAGCCGAUAAUGAGAGUUGGAGCUAUAUUGCUUGCCUUUCCAGUUCUUCCAGUACUGGUUGGAGGUGGAGAUGGUUGGGCUGCAGGUACUGGUAAUGUUGGCAACUUCUCAGGCUUCCCAAGUGCAGCAGGGUCGUAGAAAAGGUUUAUCUCAUACCGAAAAUUACAGCUGGGUGUAAUAAUUCUUCCUCCCUGCCUCUCAUCGCAACAUUGUGCAAGCAACCCAGUGGCCUGACUCAAGCAGUCGCUGCACUGCUGCUUAGACAAGUCAGGAGUACACUGCACGAGUGCAUAGAUUUUUUGAGAGGAGUUGGAUACAUCUGUGUCUCCCGUUGCAUACUUGUAACGAGAAUUGCCCGCUGCAGCUUGAUCUCUCAGCCUAUCUAACAAGGUCCUUCGAGACUGCUUGAACACAAUUAAAUCUGAGACAUUAUUCAAGCUAUACACAAAAAAGUAAGGUAGUCCUUCCAUUAUCCCAAAUAUGGAGCGAUACGUGUACCGCAACAUGCAGUUAUCAGAACCUCCAAUAGCCUCCGUAGAGUUUGGACAGAGCGUAGUGAGGUUUUCACUAGCACUUUUUAAGCAGGCACGGCAUGAUUCAGGCGUAAUAUCUGGCCUACAAAGACCAUUCGCAUAAACUUUGUCAGGGUCUUGUCCAUGAGAGAGAUUGUAGAACCCGGAAUCUAUUUCGGUGUUAGUAUAGAUGGAAGUGAGAAGUUGAUUCAGGUUUUCCUGGUAGGAACUAUUGGCUGAGUAGUUACCCUUUCCUGGUAAACAGUCAUGGUACAACAUGGCAGGCUGGGCUAGAGUGAUCAGAGGCACAGUUUGUGUGGAAAGGAGACAGCAUAGGAAGAACAGAAACCUUGAAGAGGCCAUCUUUUGCAGUUGCUGUCUUUUAGGAUGUUGUGGAAUAUUUUUAUAGGCGCUUAGUUUGUGAGUCUACCCUGCCCAACACGCAUAGUUUUUGAAUAAUAAUGACGAUAGACUUGAAGGACUGUUAACAAUUUCCCUGAUUGCUGCUUUGAUUGUUCCCAACGUAACAAAGCGGAUUUUGAGGUGGGAGCAAUACACGCG
rnacentral:misc_RNA from 1 species